rnacentral:lncRNA from 1 species
UGUGGUGCAGAGGGUUCAUUGGAAAAGUCAGAUUCGAUGCGGCGGUGGAUGGAAAUGAAGCGAAAUGGUUUUCUCUCUGGCCCUUUGGGUGGAGUAUCAGCACCGAGCUCUGCAGCACCAACUACUCCUGUUGAAGUACCUGCGCAAAAGCAGCAGAAGAAUAAGAGACGAGGCGAUUCUGUAAAGAAAAGAAACGAAGCUCCUAGGAAGGAACAGCAGCAGGUGGAUAGGUUCUCGAAUGUUACCGCGCCAAGUGGAUUGCUGACGGAGUUGAAUCCUGGGAUCAUUAACCAUGUCAGGAGCAAGAAGCAGGUCUGCUCAAUUAUUGAAGCGUUGAUUCGAAAUGCUACUCAUGAUGGGGAAAGAAAUACUGAUUUGAAUGUAAGAGGUAUCUAUAUCAUUCCCAUUUUAAUCCAUUAAGAUGUCAAUGUUAGUCAAUUCAGACUUUGAUCACUCUCUCGUUUAUCCAGGUUCAGUCAGAGAAGAUAAGGCACUAGCCUUUAAGUUACCAUCUUCUGGGGCAUCUGAUCAUGCCAACUCCUUUACAACCCCGGAACAAGCCACGUCUCUAGCUGUUCAAGGUUAGUGCCUUUUACUACACUUAUUCCUUGUUCUUCUAAAUGUCUUGAGUGGGUCAAGUCUUGUGGUGGAACAUGAAGAGUUUUGUUAGUACUGGUGCAUGAUGAUUAAUCUAUUGCAGAAAGAAAUGCUUAAAAAGGAAAAACGUUUGUUUCUUUUUAGCUGCUACCGUAGCAUCUCAAUGGUUGGAUUUUCUUCACCAAGACCUCAGUGGACGGCUUGCAGGUGUGUGUGUGUGUUUUACGGACAGGGGCUUCUCUGGUUAAUUGAGUUUUUAGUAAUCUGAGUGAGAUGUUAUGAUGUUAUUGCAGCUGUGCAGGAAAGUAAGAACAGAGUUCAUAAUAUCUUGACGGCCGAGUUACCACUUCUCGUUUCAUCAAAAGAGUCUUCUUCUACGAAUGUCUCUGGUGAUGUUACUUCUGAUAAAACAGGAACAGAGACGCAUCAUAUUAAGUGGUCUGCAAAAUUUGAUCAGAUUAAGAAAGCUCUUUUGGAUGAAGAGAAAGAUCUGGUGCGUACAUAUCCACUGACUUUCAAGCAAAGAAUGAUUAUACCCGUGGUUCUUAAGCUUGAAGCCAUGUUUUUUUUUUUGAAAUUCGCAGGAACAGUCAUUAAACCAAGUGAAGGAGAUGCAGUCACGAUGCAACGAAGGUCUACGACAAAUGGAUGAGUACUCGCCUUUCAGUUCUCAGUCAUCAGAUUCAAGGUGAGUAAGUUGAGACCAAACAGUAUCGUAGAAGCAUAAAAGAAAGACCGGUCUAACCAAUUUUCUUGAUGCAGUUUUGGGAAAGAUGGUAGCAGUGUGGAGAUUAGUAUGGCGGUUCAGGCGGCUGCAGCUUCUAUUUUUUCAACCUGCAGUUUUCUUCUGUCCAUGAUGAAGCCGCCGGCUACUAGUUCCUAAUCUGGAGACUAGUAUGACUCGACCACGGCUAUUCCCACAGCCUAUUGUAUUUUGUGUCCUCACUUGUGUUGGUUACCCAUAUGUAGUGUAAAUAACACGGGGUUGACAGUUUUUGUCAGUCGUAUAUGUAAACUUAUAGAAGACAUCUGUUUUUAUCAAUGCUACAAAGUUAGCAUUUGCUUCAAUACAGAUGUCUCUUCUAAGAGAGCAAAGUUUCCUUUGAAUAGAAAACACACGACUUAAUAAAGAGAUUUGUUGUCUCGUUGCUUUACUUCGUAAUGAAACAUUAAGAAGAAUUACAUAUUCUGGUUUGCUAUGAACUAGACAGCCAAGGCGGCGCCAUUUCGGCCACUGUUACCUCAGAAGGUGAGUUGUCUGGAAUCUUGGCAAGUGAGCAAUGUUGCAACUUAAUAGACUCUGCAUUGUCCACUGUCUUCACAACAUACCUGAAAUUGAAACCCAUAUUUGUUCCAAGAGCUUUAGAAUCUAAUGGAUAAAAUGAGUGCAAAGUUUAUAGCAAGAGGAAAACGACUUAACCAUCCAUUUAAGCAAUGUGUCAUUAUCACAGCCUUGCGUCCCACAAACCGUGGAGGUGUCCUUUUGUUUCCCUGAGCCAUAGAAAUAUUUAAUUAAAUUGUAUUUAUCAUAAUAUUAAUAGAAAAAUUAUAUAAAUUUACAUAUAUGUUUAUUAAAUAAAAAUAAAAUCAAAACUUGAAAAUUCAGCUGGAUUGGUUAAAAUCGGUUCCCAAAUUAAAGUUCGGUCUGGUUUUUAAAACCGGUACAUGCUCCGAACGAUGUCGUUUGGGUAGCACAUUAUUUUAUUUUGCUAAAGAGCCCUAACUUGGGGAUGUGAUGGAGAAUAUAAAAGGGUAGAAGAUAAGCGGCGGAAAACGCGAGGAAGCUCUCCCUUUAUAACACACCUAAAAAUAAAAAAAAAACCUUUCACUUCUCAAUUUGAAUUCAAAAUCUAUUUCUCUUCCUUCUACCAUCGAUCUACCAUCUGAAUCUCACUCACUCAACACACGGAUCCUAAACCCUGAAUCAUUUCUUCGAAUCUUCACUUCUCUGGUCGCUUCUGCUCUUCUUCCCAAAUCUCCCUAUUUGGACUCGGUCUGCGCAAUUGGGCAUCUGGGUUUCUCGAAAAUCGAUCUCUUGCUGGUGUGGAAAUGGAUGAAAAGAGAGGGGUUUCGUCUGAACCGGCAUCGAUUCCUCCGGUUUGCUUCUUUCUAAGCUUUCCCGAUGACUUUUCUAUAUUACAUCGAAGUUUGUUUUUUUCUUUGUUAUUAUUACAAUUUGCUUAUGGGUUUGUGUUCUUUGUCUCUGGGCUGUUCUCAAUUUUGUAGCUUUCGGGACAGAAGCGUAACGGAGAUGGAUUAGAAGAGAGAGAUGAAUUAGGGUUUAAACGUGCGAAAGUGCGAGAUCUGGAUUCUGGUAAUCUCUGUUUAAUUCAGAUUUAGAAACUAUCUUUAUCACUGAGUUAUCCCAUGGGUUGUUGAAAAAGGUUCCUACUGUUUCUAUGUUUAUGGUACAGAUACUAAAAUUAGUAGUUUGCAACCAAAACUAAGUAGUGGACAGAUGUCUGAAGUGCUUGUGGCUCCUGCUGCUGAAGGUUUAGGAAGGGUAGUAGUGAGAGAAAAGGAUGUUUCCGCUAAAGAUGAUAAUAGAUUGGUUGCUAAUUCUGGAAAACAGGCUUUGCCUGAAAAGAAUGUUUUGGUUAAAGAUGAUAGUAAAUGCCAGUCACAACGAGGAGGACAAGUUGAUGCUGUUUCUAAAAAUAGCAGCCUCUUGAAACCGAGGGAGGUUUCUGAAUCCGUUGUUGUUAGUCCACGAGAUCCUUCGGUUUCAAAUCAGAUGUGUGGUGCAGAGGGUUCAUUGGAAAAGUCAGAUUCGAUGCGGCGGUGGAUGGAAAUGAAGCGAAAUGGUUUUCUCUCUGGCCCUUUGGGUGGAGUAUCAGCACCGAGCUCUGCAGCACCAACUACUCCUGUUGAAGUACCUGCGCAAAAGCAGCAGAAGAAUAAGAGACGAGGCGAUUCUGUAAAGAAAAGAAACGAAGCUCCUAGGAAGGAACAGCAGCAGGUAGAUAGGUUCUCGAAUGUUACCGCGCCAAGUGGAUUGCUG